GAUGAAGAACGUAGCGAAAUGCGAUACUUGGUGUGAAUUGCAGAAUCCCGUGAACCAUCGAGUCUUUGAACGCAAGUUGCGCCUCAAGCCAUUAGGUUGAGGGCACGUCUGCCUGGGCGUCACAUAUCGUUGCCUGAUGCCAGUUUCCUCGUGAUGGGUGACUGUGCAGGGUGAAUGAUGGCUUCCCGUGAGCAUUGUUGCCUCAUGGUUGGUUGAAAAUUGAGUCCUUGGUAGGGAGCGCCGUGAUAGAUGGUGGUUGAGUGACGAACGAGACCCAAUCAUGUGAGACCCCUACCGAAUUUGGCCUUCAUGACCCACAUGCGUCUUUGGAACGCUCAUGACGAGACCUCAGGUCAGGCGGGGCUACCCGCUGAGUUUAAGCAUAUCAAUAAGCGGAGGA
rnacentral:misc_RNA from 1 species